rnacentral:rRNA from 1 species
GACGAACGCUGGCGGCGUGCUUAACACAUGCAAGUCGAACGGUGACCCAGGGCUUGCCCUGGUGAUCAGUGGCGAACGGUGAGUAACACGUGGGCAACCUGCCCCCUGACUUCGGGAUAACUCCUCGAAAGAGGAGCUAAUACCGGAUACGACCACUUCGGACAUCCGAUGGUGGUGGAAAGUUUUUCGGUCAGGGAUGGGCCCGCGGCCUAUCAGCUAGUUGGUGGGGUAAUGGCCUACCAAGGCGACGACGGGUAGCCGGCCUGAGAGGGCGACCGGCCACACUGGGACUGAGACACGGCCCAGACUCCUACGGGAGGCAGCAGUGGGGAAUAUUGCGCAAUGGGCGAAAGCCUGACGCAGCGACGCCGCGUGAGGGAUGAAGGCCUGGUUGUAAACCGUCUUUCAGCAGGGACGAAGCGAAAGU